CUGCCUGAAUCUACCAGCCAGCGAAUGACAACUGACUGAGUAUAAAUACUAGGACUACAGAACCGUGAUAAAAGGAGUCUCCUGCCCCUGGCCAGGGAGAGCCACAGGCUGGAUGACAUCUGGUUUAUAGUGAGGGGCAGCAGCAACUCCAAGAGGGGGAAGAUGUGACCAUGAGCCCCGCCCCAGACCCAGGAGGCUUGACCUUGGGGCUGCCGUAGCAGUGGAUGCUCUUCAGCUGAAUGACCUAUCCUGGGCCCGUGACCCUGGACUUCAGCCAGAUCAGCAUCUCAAGGCUGGAGUUCAAUGGCAUGAUCUCGG
rnacentral:lncRNA from 1 species